AGGCAGGAAGAGAGGCGUUUAAGCUCACACCUUAGCCAUUUCCUACCAGACAAUUAAAAUCCAAUUCCUCUAAUUGUCCCUGAAUUGCAUUAUUUCUUCUGUUGAACUGCUGUAUGAUUUUUCAGGUUACUCUUUGCCACACCGAGAAAGCAGGCAAACUCUGAGAGCCACUUAUUUUCUAAUUUCUCUUGAAAAACAUACAUAUUCCCAGCCGAUCUCCCCACCUUUUGCAAACACCUUCACGCCUCCUCUCCGGUCAACUCCGUAACACACAACCUUCACCUUUCUCCUCCUCUUUGAGGUGUUUUCUGACCCGCACGCACCCUAACCUGUGAAAUUCCUCAUUAUCUUACUAGUGCUGGCUUUCAGCAGCCCAUGAAAAAGAAGAACAUUUUCUAAAUACAGGUGGGUGGGGUGGGGUUUUUGUGCUGCAUGAGUGUGCGCGCUGAGGGCAGCCGCUCCAGCCAGCGGCGGCUAACGCUGAGGAGAGCGCUUCACACACGGGAGAGAACGACCAUCAGCCUACUUCAGGACCACGUUGCUAAUAAUCUGGAAGCAGUUCUACCGUCCUACACAAUCCCCAUCCUCAACAGCGAUCCAAAGACACCGAGUCUCCUUUCACAUAGGUGUAGCCGAAAAAACCCCACAGCGCUCCAAGACUUUUUCUCCCGGAGCCAUCUCAUCGGUAUUCCUCGGGAACUGACUUACUGUGUUCCUCUCGGCCGAAACAGCUGCUAUCUCGGCUAACCCACCUUCUUCUCAGAUCACUCAUAGUGAAAACAUUCCUCACUUCCUGUCUCAAAAAACUUGCUCUGGAUAUCAUUCCACUGGGUAAAGAGCUGGGGGUGGAAGAAAAAUAUUACAAUAAAAUAAACCUGUGCCGGCCA
rnacentral:lncRNA from 1 species